rnacentral:tRNA from 1 species
AAAAAAUUAGUUAAUUUAUAACGUUAGAUUGUCAAUCUAAAAUAAUUCAAUAAAUAUUUUUUA